rnacentral:rRNA from 1 species
GAUGAACGCUGGCGGCGUGCCUAAUACAUGCAAGUCGAGCGAACAGACGAGGAGCUUGCUCCUCUGACGUUAGCGGCGGACGGGUGAGUAACACGUGGAUAACCUACCUAUAAGACUGGGAUAACUUCGGGAAACCGGAGCUAAUACCGGAUAAUAUAUUAACCGCAAUGGUUCAUUAGUGAAAGACGGUUUUGCUGUCCCUUAUAGAUGAAUCCGCGCCGCAUUAGCUAGUUGGUAAGGUAACGGCUUACCAAGGCAACGAUGCGUAGCCGACCUGAGAGGGUGAUCGGCCACACUGGAACUGAGACACGGUCCAGACUCCUACGGGAGGCAGCAGUAGGGAAUCUUCCGCAAUGGGCGAAAGCCUGACGGAGCAACGCCGCGUGAGUGAUGAAGGUCUUCGGAUCGUAAAACUCUGUUAUUAGGGAAGAACAAAUGUGUAAGUAACUAUGCACGUCUUGACGGUACCUAAUCAGAAAGCCACGGCUAACUACGUG